rnacentral:tRNA from 1 species
GGCCCUGUCGUCUACCGGCCAGGACACCUGCCUCUCACGCAGGCAAAGCGGGUUCGAUUCCCGCCAGGGUCA